UGAGCUCUGUCUUCACCGUGCUUGUAAAUGGAAAGUUUUUAGUAGCCUGGAGGUCAAGCACAUCUGUGUGGAUUUCUGCUGUUCGCUGUUUGCUUUUCUUAACUAGCUGGUUGGUGUUGCCCCGGUUGCGAAGGGGACCGCGUGUGUUACGCCACCUGCAGACUGGGUGAGGACGGUUGAGCUCACCUGGGUAGGAGCCGGCAUGCCGAGAGCACUGGCAGAGUUACAUAGAGAUAGAUCUUCCAGGAUGAAGCCAGGAGCCUGGAACGCCAUCCGGGUCUCCCAUGUGGGUGCAGGGGCCCAAGCACGGGGACCACCGUCUGCUGCCUUCCCAGGUGCAUUAACAGGGAGCUGGAUGAGAAGCAGAGCAGCCAGGACUGGAACCAGUGCUCAGAUCCGCGAUGCGGGCGUCGCAGGCAGCAGCCUGACCUGCGCAGCCGGGAUUCUGGUCCCUAAUGAAAAUUCUUGAUAUCAGAAUUUUACUUAACUUUUGAGGCUCUCCUAAUUAAAAUUCUUGAGUGAGUUACACAUUCACAUAUUUAAAAGCUCAGGAAGUAUGAACUCCUUCGCGGUACAGAGGCUCCCAGCCGCCCCCAGCCUUGGCCGCAGCACAGCAGGUUCUUGUGGCCGCUGGAUCAGCAAACCUGUGUUUCUUUCUCUCUUUCCCACACAGGUGACAGUGGAUUGUACACAUUGUUUCACCCCUUGCUUUUUCUCAUACAAUUGCUUUUUCAUUCAGUAUGCUCUCAGAACAUACAGAUUUCUCUUCCUUUUUUUUUUUAAGAUUUAUUUUUAUUUAUUUGAAAGAGUUACAGAGAUCGGUAGAGACAGAGAGAAAGAGAUCUUCCAUCCUCUGGCUCACUCCCCAAACGGCUGCAACGGCCAGAGCUGAGCUGAUCUGAAGCCUGGAGCUUCUUAGGAGUCUCGCACGUGGGCACAGGGGCCCAAGCACUUGGGCCAUCUUCCACUGCUUUCCCAGGCCAUAGCAGAGAGCUGGAUCAGAAGAGGAGCAGCUGGGACUAGAACCGGUGCCUAUAUGGAAUGCUGCUGCUGCAGGCCAGGGCUUUAACCUGCUGCGCCACAGCGCCGGCCCCAGAACAUACAGAUUCCUUGGUCUUUUGCAGGUUCAUAGUAUUCAGCCCCCUGUUGGUAUACCUGUAGGCUUUUUCCCCAGUCUGUGGCUGCAGAAAACAAAGUCCCACAGUAAUAAACACCUGCGACCCCUCACCAGGUAUCGAAGCUCUUCCAAGCCUGUCAGCAGAUCGCGGCGCUUGUCCUCACACGGCCCUGCCUGUGCUGUCUUUUGCUUUAAAGACUUAUUUUGUUUCUGUCCAUAACUCUGCCUUUCAAAUAGAGUGACAGAGUGAUCCUUCAUCCACUGGUUGACUCCACAAAUGGCCAUGAUGGCCGGGAUGGGCCAAGACAAAGCAAGGAGCCUGGAACUCCAUCCGGGUCUCCUACAUGGGUGGCAGGGGCCCGAGCACUUGGGCCACCUUCCACUGCUUUCCCAGGUGCCUUAGCAGGAAGCUGGACUGGAACCGGUGCUGGUGUUGCAGACGGUGACUUGACCCGCCACAGCGCCGGCCCCUGUUGUUAGCCCUCAUUCGGCUCAGCGGGCAGCAGACCCGGCCUGCAGCUUGCAGAGCCAGGCUUUGGAAUGAGGGUGCUGGCUCCAGAACCCACACUUAGAGAAAAUGUGAAUCCCACACGUUCCCACUGUUCUUCACGGCCGGCCCUCGAGUGUAACAUCUGCAUGCAGCGUUGGUGCCGUGGUGAGAGUGAGCCGCGGACACAAAGCAGCUUUGUUCCUGACGCCUCUUACGUAAGCGGCAUAGCGAUCAAAUUCAGGAACUCACACUGUUGUAAUGCCGUUAUCUAAUCCACAGGCCUUGUGCACAUCCCACCAGUGUUCUCUAGAACAAAAGAUAAAACUUCUUUCCUGUUCCAGGCCCUGAUCCAGGGCCGCACAGCGCAUUUAGUUGUCAUUUCUCUUUAGCCUCGUUUAAUCGGGGAUGGCUCCUCUGUCCUUUGUCUCCCCUGACCUUGAUGCUUCUAAACAGUGCGGUGCUGGUUAGUCUGUAGACUGUCCCCUAAUUGGGGCUUGUUUGUGUCCUCGUGGUCAGAUCCAGGCUGUGCGUCUUGGCACAGGCUCGCAGGAGGCAUGUGACGUGCCCGUUGCUGGCGAGGGCGUCGCCUGAGGCGGGCUUCUUGCAGUUCGGCCGCUCUUCUCCCCGUGUGGAGCCUACGUGGUAUCUGGUUUCUCGUCCUGCGUGGCGUCCGGGGAUGAGUCUGGCUCGGAUCGGUUGUCACGGUGGUUGUCGCCAGUCCCUCGUUCCUUCUGCAUUUAUUUGCUCACAUCCUCCUUCCUUCCUUGUUCAUCCCCAUUCCUGUCAGUGUGGAUUCCCAGAGCCUGGGUUUCCCCAGGGGGUUAUAAGCCAUUGCUAUUUUUGGUUUUAAUGCUCAGAGUUUCUCAGACCUGGCCAAGUUGCCUCCCGUGUCUUUUGAAGCCUCAUUUAUUGACUUACUUGAGGAGUGACAGAGAAGGAGAGACAUCCACUGGUUCACUUCCCAAAUGGCUACAACAGCCAGAUUGGACCAGGCCAAAGCCAGGAGCCCAGACUUCCAUCUGGGUCUUCCACAUGGUUAGCAGGGGCCCAGGUACGUGGACCAUCACCUGCUGCCAUCUCAGGUGCACUGGCAGGGAGCUGGAUGGGAAACAGAGCAGCUGGGACUGGACCAGUGCUCUGAUACGGGGUGCCGGUGUCAGUGGUGCCAGCCCCGCCUGUGUCCUUGUGAUGUUACAUGGCCCCUUCAUUUUUUCUGACACUAACUUACUUUCUGGUACAACUAGAAAUUCCAUGUUCCUCUUCUGUUUUCUUAGCCCUGGAAUUGGCCGUUUCUGAAGGGAGCCCUGGUCCUUUGGUGGGGAAUGAUGUUCGGAGACCAGGACUGGGCUGCAGGGUGCACAGCUGGUACAGUGCACUGCUGCCCGGACUGGCCUGGACUUGGGCCCGCUGCUGGGAAAGCUCUAAGCAGCCGCAUCUCUGGGUCUCGGGUUGUGCUGUGAUCCUGCUGUGUCAGCGCGGUGUUUUCUCCGGUGAGAUUCUCCGCCCUGAGAACGCUGCCCUGUCCCUUGUGGUCGUGACAGUGUAUCCCCUCCGUCCUCUCUGUGCCUCGUGGGAAUGUAACAGCGCAUUCCUUCAUAGAUUCCGGGUGGUUACAUUGUAACACGGCAGUGACCUUCGCUCAUUUUCUCAUUUUAAUACAGAUUUACUCUAGAGAAUGUUUUUUUGAGGGGAAAAAAGCAAACCCGUUAUUUUUUGUAUGUAUAAUUGUA